UACGAGGGGGGCGAGCGUUGUUCGGAAUUAUUGGGCGUAAAGGGCGCGUAGGCGGCUUGGCAAGUGGAAGGUGAAAUCCCUCGGCUUAACCGAGGAACUGCCCUCCAAACUGCUUGGGCUUGAGACCGGGAGAGGUGAGUGGAAUUCCCAGUGUAGCGGGUGAAAUGCGUAGAUAUUGGGAGGAACACCAGUGGCGAAGGGCGGCUCACUGGACCGGUACUGACGCUGAUGCGCGAAAGCGUGGGGAGCGGAACAGG
rnacentral:rRNA from 1 species